rnacentral:lncRNA from 1 species
GGGAAAAUCUAUAUAUUAUUUACAAGCUUUGGGGCAUGCAUUUGCCCAAGGAAGAAAUGCAAGCAAAGCCCUCCUAAAAACAACUUUGGCCUCUUUUCUCCUCCCCUUUCCCACCUCUUUUAUUUCUCCCUCUUUCAAACUCUAAAAGUAGCCAGAAAAGGCUUUUUAAAACUUCCCUCCCUCUCCCAAAAAAACCCACCCCAUUUUUGUUUCCUUAGGAAUAAAAAGAAAUACACACCUUCUGUUGCUCUCCUUUCCCUCCCUUUUGACUCAAACGUUCUUGCAAUAAUAGUAAUAAUGAUAAUAAAUCCUGCAAAUUUGCAAGAGUCUCUUUUUCUUCCCCUUCCAACCAUGCAAUAUUUUUCUUCUUCCUGGCUUGCAAGAGGUUCUGUCACUCACUCUUCUUUCACUUUUAAAAACAUUCCCUCCUUGUCCCUCUCUCUCUUAAAAAAUAAGAUAACUCCAGCCUGGGAGGAGAAGUGGAGAAGGGAGAGAAUGUUUUUAAAGUGAGCAUAGUGCCAAAUUCAAGCCACAGAAUUCUUAUUAACACAUAACAUUUUCAUACUUUUCAUAUAUUCACAUGUACCUUAGUGAAACAGAAAACAUGUCUCAAGAUAAUAAGAUAGCUAUAAUAACUACCCUCAAAAGACAUCAAUAUUAAAACAUACAUAUCAUAUCUAUAUUGUACCUUUAUCAUAAGGUAAAGGUAAAGGUUUUCCCCUGACAUUAAAUCUAGUUGUGUCUGAUGCUGGGGGUUGGUGCUCAUCUCCAUUUCUAAGCCGAAGAGCCGUUCAAGGUCAUGUGGCUGGCAUGACUGCAUGAAACGCAGAAAUUAUUAGACAAAAAUUAUGAGGGGAAAACGUGUUGGUUUCUCUUCAUAUGGAUUUUCUUUCUUCUUGGUCUCCCCUCUGUCAAACCAAACAAUUUGCCUGAAUUCAACAAUUAUAGUCACAGUUUUUCUACAGACAUAUGUAUUUUGCAUACACAAGUGGGGAUGAAAAUCAAGUCAUUGGGCCACAUACCCUAACUGGCCUUUGUACAUUCAGUAUACUGUGAAAACAGAGCCUGAUCGUAUGUACAUAACCUUGAGUAUAUCCACAUUGCACAAUUAUAGCAGUUUGAUGCUCUCUGAUGAAAUCCUGAAGUUUUCAUAAGAUAUUUCAAAUUUUCCUUUUCGUUUCUGGACUUGUUCUGAUUCCAUUUGUUUAGACUGGCUCCACAUGUAGGA